UCCGGUUUGUCACCGGCAGUCUGGUGUGAGUCCCCAACUUAAUGAUGGCAACACACCACGGGGGUUGCGCUCGUUGCGGGACUUAACCCAACACCUCACGGCACGAGCUGACGACAGCCGUGCAUCACCUCGCAUGGUGCCCCGAAGGGAGACCGGCUUUCACCGGCUGUCACCACACGUUCAAGCCCAGGUAAGGUUCUGCGCGUUGCUUCGAAUUAAACCACAUGCUCCACCGCUUGUGCAGGCCCCCGUCAAUUUCUUUGAGUUUUAACCUUGCGGCCGUACUCCCCAGGCGGUCAACUUCACGCGUUAGCUUCGUUACCAAGGAAUUGCUUCCCCGACAACCAGUUGACAUAGUUUAGGGCGUGGACUAC
rnacentral:misc_RNA from 1 species